UACGAAGGGUGCAAACGUUGCUCGGAAUUAUUGGGCGUAAAGCGCGUGUAGGCGGCUUUGCAAGUCGGGUGUGAAAGCCCUCGGCUCAACCGAGGAAGUGCGCCCGAAACUGCAGAGCUUGAGUACCGGAGAGGAUGGCGGAAUUCCCCAAGUAGAGGUGAAAUUCGUAGAUAUGGGGAGGAACACCGGUGGCGAAGGCGGCCAUCUGGACGGAUACUGACGCUGAGACGCGAAAGCGUGGGAAGCAAACAGG
rnacentral:rRNA from 1 species